CAGCCGCCGCGGUAAUACGUAGGGUGCAAGCGUUAAUCGGAAUUACUGGGCGUAAAGCGUGCGCAGGCGGUUAUAUAAGUCAGAUGUGAAAUCCCCGGGCUCAACCUGGGAACUGCAUUUGAGACUGUAUGGCUAGAGUGUGUCAGAGGGGGGUAGAAUUCCACGUGUAGCAGUGAAAUGCGUAGAUAUGCGGAGGAAUACCGAUGGCGAAGGCAGCCCCCUGGGAUAACACUGACGCUCAUGCACGAAAGCGUGGGGAGCAAACAGGAUUAGAUACCCCCGUAGUCCCUGUCUCUUAUAC
rnacentral:rRNA from 1 species